GACGAACGCUGGCGGCGUGCUUAACACAUGCAAGUCGAACGGAAAGGCCCUGCUUUUGUGGGGUGCUCGAGUGGCGAACGGGUGAGUAACACGUGAGUAACCUGCCCUUGACUUUGGGAUAACUUCAGGAAACUGGGGCUAAUACCGGAUAGGAGCUCCUGCCGCAUGGUGGGGGUUGGAAAGUUUCGGCGGUUGGGGAUGGACUCGCGGCUUAUCAGCUUGUUGGUGGGGUAGUGGCUUACCAAGGCUUUGACGGGUAGCCGGCCUGAGAGGGUGACCGGCCACAUUGGGACUGAGAUACGGCCCAGACUCCUACGGGAGGCAGCAGUGGGGAAUAUUGCACAAUGGGCGGAAGCCUGAUGCAGCAACGCCGCGUGCGGGAUGACGGCCUUCGGGUUGUAAACCGCUUUCGCCUGUGACGAAGCGUGAGUGACGGUAAUGGGUAAAGAAGCACCGGCUAACUACGG
rnacentral:rRNA from 1 species